rnacentral:rRNA from 1 species
CGCGUAGGCGGAUUUGUAAGUCAGAGGUGAAAGCCCUGGGCUCAACCCGGGAAUGGCCUUUGAGACUGCAAGUCUUGAGUGCGAGAGAGGGUGGCGGAAUACCCAGUGUAGAGGUGAAAUUCGUAGAUAUUGGGUAGAACACCAGUGGCGAAGGCGGCCACCUGGCUCGCAACUGACGCUGAGGCGCGAAAGCGUGGGGAGCAAACAGGAUUAGAUACCCUGGUAGUCCACGCCGUAAACGAUGUGUGCUAGCCGUUGGUGACCUUUUUGGUCGUCGGUGGCGCAGCUAACGCGAUAAGCACACCGCCUGGGGAGUACGGCCGCAAGGUUAAA